rnacentral:rRNA from 1 species
UCGAGGGGUAACGGAAGUAGCUUGCUACUAGACGACGACCGGCGCACGGGUGAGUAACGCGUAUGUAAUCUGCCUUGUACAGAGGGAUAGCCCAGAGAAAUUUGGAUUAAUACCUCAUAGUAUUACUGGAUCGCAUGAUUUGGUAAUUAAAGCUCCGGCGGUACAAGAUGAACAUGCGUGACAUUAGCUAGUUGGUAAGGUAACGGCUUACCAAGGCUACGAUGUCUAGGGGUUCUGAGAGGAUGAUCCCCCACACUGGUACUGAGACACGGACCAGACUCCUACGGGAGGCAGCAGUGAGGAAUAUUGGUCAAUGGACGCAAGUCUGAACCAGCCAUCCCGCGUGAAGGAUGACUGCCCUAUGGGUUGUAAACUUCUUUUAUAUGCAAAUAAACCUACUUUCGUGAAAGUAGCUGAAGGUAGCAUAUGAAUAAACACCGGCUAACUCCGUGCCAGCAGCCGCGGUAAUACGGAGGGUGUAAGCGUUAUCCGGAU